AUGCGGGUCUUGCACCGACCGUGCCCACCGCAAACGACCAUCGGGCGCCUGUCAUCGUCACCACCUGGACACGCUCCACCGCAGCUCCGACUUCAAAGCAACCAAGCAACCCACAGGAGAGCACCUCGGACACGCUGGGAAGAAGCGACUACCGAAGUCCACGCCGCGACCCGUGCUUCACUCGACGCUAUCAUCGUUGCCAAACAGAAACUAGCGCCCCGCCUCAGCAAACCACGCGGCGAAGAUGCCGCCAUCCACGGCGAAGAUGCCGCAAUCCACCAGUCUCCCAGUCGUAGCCGGCUUCAAAACGAUACCCCCAAGGAGGAGGAAGACGCGAAGUCGCCUCCAUCGCCCGAUAGCGGAUCUGAGGUUUCCCUCUGGAGCCAAACCCGUGGGGAGGAGGAGCACAACUCAACGACGCCGCUUUCAAGAAAGAUCAUGGCACCCGCGGGCGCCGCCGUCGCCGGCUCCGAUGAAGACAGGAGCAAAGAUUUCUCCCGGAGAUGCGCCGACCACCUACCACCAUCGACCGCCGCCCACCAAUCACCACCUGCUGAGGCCGACCUCAAUCUGACCGCGGGAUCCCACGAUCCACCGCGACCAGAGACGCACCAGCCCCGGCCAAAGCUGCCGUCCACCACCGCAGCAACCCACGCCGCAUCGCAUCGCGUAACAUCCAUAUCGAAGCACGAGCUCGCACCAGAUCCAAUCGGAGCCACACGAGCGACAGCAGAGCAGACGAGCUCCCUACGCAGCACACCGCGCACUCCAGAGCAGCGCAUCCACCACGCCCAGCAGCCGGUCGCCGCGCGUCAGCCGUCGCCGUGCCCAGCCGUCGAUCUGCGCCCCACGCGCACAUCCGGAGCCGAGCCGCCGCCGCGCGCACGCGCGCCGUCCACGCCCAGGCCACGCCGGGAACCCGGACCGAGGCCGCCGCCCCGGCGUCCCACCCACUGCGCCUCACCAUCCGCGCCCCGCGCUGCACGUGGAUCUGGCCGAAACCAACCUAAACCGGCCGCCCCCGCCACCGCAGCCUCACCUGAGAAGCCCGAGGCCGCCGCGCGGCCAGCUGCCGGCCCGGCCAUGCGCAACGCGCCGGGCGCAUCUGGAUCGAGCGCUCCCAGCUGCGACCCCCAGGAAGGGCGCCGAGCGACGGAGAGGCCCCGCCGCCGCCGCCAGCACGCGGGCUUUGCCCGGCGGUGGCCCCAGGCGGCGGCGAGGGAGGAGGCACCGGUGGAUGGAGCUGCUGGACGGCGGGGUUGGGUCGCCGCCCGUGUCGCCUAA
rnacentral:rRNA from 1 species